rnacentral:rRNA from 1 species
AACGAACGCUGGCGGCAUGCCUAACACAUGCAAGUCGAACGAGACCUUCGGGUCUAGUGGCGCACGGGUGCGUAACGCGUAGGAACCUGCCCUUAGGUUCGGAAUAACUCCCCGAAAGGGGUGCUAAUCCCGGAUAAUGUCUUCGGACCAAAGAUUUAUCGCCUUUGGAUGGGCCCGCGUUGGAUUAGCUAGUUGGUAGGGUAAAAGCCUACCAAGGCGACGAUCCAUAGCUGGUCUGAGAGGAUGAUCAGCCACACUGGGACUGAGACACGGCCCAGACUCCUACGGGAGGCAGCAGUGGGGAAUAUUGGACAAUGGGCGAAAGCCUGAUCCAGCAAUGCCGCGUGAGUGAUGAAGGCCUUAGGGUUGUAAAGCUCUUUUACCCGGGAUGAUAAUGACAGUACCGGGAGAAUAAGCUCCGGCUAACUCCGUG